rnacentral:lncRNA from 1 species
GCUAAGAACUAUCUUAAUCUUGAAUCACACCAUUUGUUUGUGAAAAUAUGUCUGUUGUUGGAGGAAGUCAAUAUGAGUCCAGCAGAUGUUGCAGAGAGUUUAAUGCCCAAGGCUGCUCUUGGGGACACAGGAACUUGCUUGGAGAGUCUGAUUGGAGCUCUUGAGAUGGCAAAAGAAGAAGCCAGGCUGAAAACUGAGGAAGAAGAAAAUAUCAAAAGAUCAUUGGUGGAAAAAGAAAUAAAAGAGAAAGAGAAGGAAUUGUCUGCUGAUGAAGUAGAACAAAGAAUCAAUCAACGUUAGAGGCAGAUGAUAACAGUUCAUCAGUCAAGGAAGCUUUAAUAUGAAAAUAAACCAUUAGUGAUCCAUCUGCUACUAUUGCAAGACUAAGAAGUGGACAAGAUUGGGAAAGAUUUUGUAACUUUGUAGAGAGAUUAUCUAUUUUUCUUGAAGAAAUUUAACAUUAUUGAUUUGCACUAGUGUGACUUUAUCUUGAAUGGUUUCUUAGAAUAUAUAUAUAUAUAUAUAUAUAUAUAUCCCAAUUCUCUUAGCGUACAGCCAGCAUCUAGAUUGAGCACCUAAACACCUGGUAUUGGGAUUUGGGAGUGUAGUUUUAAAAGGGUAAUGUUUAAAGUGGGCUCUUUCUGAAACUCACUUCACCUUAUAAUGUCCACUUCAACAUGUGAGCUCUCAUACCAUACAGUUUGUCUAUAUUGCCUAACAUAUUAACAAUGCUUCACUAAUUAAGUGAGUAAUACAGACAUAAAAAUUGAGCCAAACUCAUGGAUUACCCUUGCUAAUUUAGAUGUCAUGCAUAGCUUUCUUUAAGGCUGUCUUCGCACUUCA